AUUUCCCUGGGGUGUGCGUGAUUUAUGUCUCGGUGCUGACCUGACUUGUAUAAAAAAGGGUGCGUCCCUGCGCUCCAUGUGUGCAUGCCCGCUGCCAUGCGGGAAGCCUGACAGGAGGCACAUUGCGCCCGACCUGGGAAACCAGGUUUUGCACCGCAGAUGUAACACGGCACUCUGGGGAUAUC
rnacentral:other from 1 species